GCUGGGUGCGGUGGCGCACACCUGUAAUCUGAACGGCUUGGGAGGCUGAGGCAGGAGGAUCACGAGUUCAAAGCCAGCCUCAGCAAAAGUGAGGUGCUAAGCAACUCAGUGAGACCCUGUCUCUA
rnacentral:sRNA from 1 species